UCCGGUUUGUCACCGGCAGUCCCAUUAGAGUGCUCAACUGAAUGUAGCAACUAAUGGCAAGGGUUGCGCUCGUUGCGGGACUUAACCCAACAUCUCACGACACGAGCUGACGACAGCCAUGCAGCACCUGUGUUACGGUUCCCUUUCGGGCACGUCUCCAUCUCUGGAGACUUCCGUACAUGUCAAGGGUAGGUAAGGUUUUUCGCGUUGCAUCGAAUUAAACCACAUCAUCCACCGCUUGUGCGGUCCCCCGUCAAUUCCUUUGAGUUUUAAUCUUGCGACCGUACUCCCCAGGCGGCGAACUUCACGCGUUAGCUUCGUUACCAAAGAAUUGCUUCCCCGACAACUAGUUCGCAUCGUUUACAGCUAGGACUAC
rnacentral:misc_RNA from 1 species